rnacentral:rRNA from 1 species
CUGUACAAAGGUAGCAUAAUAAUUUGUUUUUUAAUUAAAAACUAGAAUGAAAGAUUUAAUGAAAUAUAAACUGUUUCAAUUAAAUUUAUUUUAAAUUUUUUAUUUAAGUAAAAAAACUUAAAUAAAAUUUAAAGACGAUAAGACCCUAUAGAAUUUUAUAUUUUAUUGGGGUAAUAAAAAAAUUAAAUUAAUUUUUUUUAAAAAUUACAACUAUAUUUGAAUAAUUUAUCUUAAUUUUUAAAUUAAAAAAAUCAAUUACCUUAGGGAUAACAGCAUAA